rnacentral:rRNA from 1 species
CCUACGGGAGGCAGCAGUGAGGAAUAUUGGUCAAUGGCCGAGAGGCUGAACCAGCCAAGUCGCGUGAGGGAAGACGGCCCUACGGGUUGUAAACCUCUUUUGUCGGGGAGCAAAGAGAGUCACGUGUGACUCAUUGAGAGUACCCCAAGAAAAAGCAUCGGCUAACUCCGUGCCAGCAGCCGCGGUAAUACGGGGGAUGCGCGCGUUAUCCGGUUUUAUUGGGUUUUAAGGGUGCGCGGGCGGCGGUGCAAGUCAGCGGUCAAAUUGCGGGGCUCAACCCCGUACUGCCGUUGAAACUGCAUGCCUUGAGUGCGCGAGAAGUAGGCGGAAUGCGUGGUGUAGCGGUGAAAUGCAUAGAUAUCACGCAGAACUCCGAUUGCGAAGGCAGCAUACCGGCGCGCAACUGACGCUGAUGCACGAAAGCGUGGGUAUCGAACAGGAUUAGAUACCCUGGUAGUC